GAUGAACGCUGGCGGCGUGCUUAACACAUGCAAGUCGAACGGGAAAUAUUUCAUUGAGACUUCGGUGGAUUUGAUCUAUUUCUAGUGGCGGACGGGUGAGUAACGCGUGGGUAACCUGCCUUAUACAGGGGGAUAACAGUCAGAAAUGGCUGCUAAUACCGCAUAAGCGCACAGAGCUGCAUGGCUCAGUGUGAAAAACUCCGGUGGUAUAAGAUGGACCCGCGUUGGAUUAGCCUGUUGGUGGGGUAACGGCCCACCAAGGCGACGAUCCAUAGCCGGCCUGAGAGGGUGAACGGCCACAUUGGGACUGAGACACGGCCCAGACUCCUACGGGAGGCAGCAGUGGGGAAUAUUGCACAAUGGGGGAAACCCUGAUGCAGCGACGCCGCGUGAAGGAAGAAGUAUCUCGGUAUGUAAACUUCUAUCAGCAGGGAAGAUAGUGACGGUACCUGACUAAGAAGCCCCCGGCUAACUACGUGCCAGCAGCCG
rnacentral:rRNA from 1 species